GCCUUCGUAGUGUAGGGGUCAUCACGCUGGGUGCGUAUUCGAGAGGUCCGUGGUUCGAGUCCCGGUGAAGGCA
rfam:Stegodyphus mimosarum contig62949, whole genome shotgun sequence.